UGGGGAAUUUUGGACAAUGGGGGAAACCCUGAUCCAGCCAUCCCGCGUGUGCGAUGAAGGCCUUCGGGUUGUAAAGCACUUUUGGCAGGAAAGAAACGUCGCGGGUUAAUACCCCGCGAAACUGACGGUACCUGCAGAAUAAGCACCGGCUAACUACGUGCCAGCAGCCGCGGUAAUACGUAGGGUGCAAGCGUUAAUCGGAAUUACUGGGCGUAAAGCGUGCGCAGGCGGUUCGGAAAGAAAGAUGUGAAAUCCCAGAGCUUAACUUUGGAACUGCAUUUUUAACUACCGGGCUAGAGUGUGUCAGAGGGAGGUGGAAUUCCGCGUGUAGCAGUGAAAUGCGUAGAUAUGCGGAGGAACACCGAUGGCGAAGGCAGCCUCCUGGGAUAACACUGACGCUCAUGCACGAAAGCGUGGGGAGCAAACAGGAUUAGAUACCCUGGUAGUCCACGCCCUAAACGAUGUCAACUAGCUGUUGGGGGCCUUCGGGCCUUGGUAGCGCAGCUAACGCGUGAAGUUGACCGCCUGGGGAGUACGGUCGCAAGAUUAAAACUCAAAGGAAUUGG
rnacentral:rRNA from 1 species